rnacentral:rRNA from 1 species
UACGUAGGGGUGCGAGCGUUUAAUCGGAAUUACUGGGCGUAAAGCGUGCGCAGGCGGUUUUGUAAGCCAGAUGUGAAAUCCCCGGGCUUAACCUGGGAACUGCAUUUGUGACUGCAAGGCUAGAGUGUGUCAGAGGGGGGUAGAAUUCCACGUGUGAGCAGUGAAAUGCGUAGAUAUGUGGAGGAAUACCGAUGGCGAAGGCAGCCCCCUGGGAUAACACUGACGCUCAUGCACGAAAGCGUGGGGAGC